rnacentral:rRNA from 1 species
GAUGAACGCUGGCGGCGUGCUUAACACAUGCAAGUCGAACGAGAAGUGAAGACGGAAACCUUCGGGCGGAAGGCUUUAUUUCGAGUGGCGGACGGGUGAGUAACGCGUGGGUAACCUGCCUCAUACAGGGGGAUAACAGUUGGAAACGACUGUUAAUACCGCAUAAGACCACAGCACCGCAUGGUGCGGGGGUAAAAACUCCGGUGGUAUGAGAUGGACCCGCGUUCGAUUAGCCAGUUGGCGGGGUAACGGCCCACCAAAGCGACGAUCGAUAGCCGAUCUGAGAGGAUGACCGGCCACAUUGGGACUGAGACACGGCCCAAACUCCUACGGGAGGCAGCAGUGGGGAAUAUUGCACAAUGGGGGAAACCCUGAUGCAGCGACGCCGCAUGAGUGAAGAAGUAUUUCGGUAUGUAAAGCUCUAUCAGCAGGGAAGAAAAUGACGGUACCUGAGUAAGAAGCCCCGGCUAACUACGUG